GAUGAAGAACGUAGCGAAAUGGGAUAAGUAGUGUGAAUUGCAGAAUUCAGUGAAUCAUCGAAUCUUUGAACGCACAUUGCGCCCCUCGGUAUUCCGUGGGGCAUGCCUGUUCGAGCGUCAUUUACCCCUCAAGCACUGCUUGGUGUUGGGCGUCUGUCCCGCUUCGCGCGCGGACUCGCCCCAAAGGUAUUGGCAGCGGUCGUGCCAGCUUCUCGCGCAGCACAUUGCGCUUCUCGAGGCGGUCGAUCGGCGUCCACGAAGCUCACCUCCACCGUUUGACCUCGGAUCAGGCAGGGAUACCCGCUGAACUUAAGCAUAUCAAUAAGCGGAGGA
rnacentral:misc_RNA from 1 species